rnacentral:lncRNA from 1 species
AAAUUAAUUUAUUGUAUAUUUAAAAGACAAGUUUCAAGAAGCUAUUACAAAAUCGUCAGAUUAAUCGCACAAUUAAAACCGUGAGCACAUAAAAAGACAUUUAAUCGUAUUAUCUUAUCAGCAAUUACACCAUUAUUACUGGAAUAGUCUGGCGUGUGGAAUUGUCGCAAGAACAUUAUCCAUUUAUUACCGUUGAUAAAUCGCUUUAAUAAAAAUUUCAUUUAAACACAUUCUUGUGAUCUUAUACACGCUCAUCGUGAUAUUCUUUUUUGAAUUACAAAUUCCCGCGUAUAGAACCGCGUGCCAUAUGCGGCAACAGUACUGCGCGCGCAGACUUUAUUUUCUAUGUCCUUGCGCAGAAUCAUACGAUUCCCGCGUAAAGACACGUGACACCAUUCCUUGCGUUUUUCGAGGCAGUGAUUUCUAGGUUAUCGAUCUUUUCAUAGCGAGCAACACAAUAGACUCACGAUUUCUAUCGAUCGUGCAACGUUCUUGUUUGAAAUCCUGUUCCACUGUUAAAUAACUAACCUCUUAAUUGUUAACCUAUUGGCCAUAUAUUCGUCGGAACCGCUGUUUUUCGUGCCACGAUAUAGUAAGACCAGACAGAUGAGGAGCGAAAGAAAGAAAGAAGGUCCAUAGACUGUGAAGGAAAGAUGUAACCUGUUCCAGUUUCCAGGAUCAUCCUGCACUACUACUGUAUAUUCGAGAAAUUGAAUCUGCUGAAAUGUAACACGAGAAUCAGUAUGCGAUUAUCGAAGACUGUGUCAAGUGUCUGCUGGAUCUGGAUAUUCCGACCACCAGACGUUGAUUCUUCAGAUGGUUAUCUUUCAGAAAACCCGUGAGAAUAGGUCGUUCAAUAGCAAGAAAUCCUUCGACAAUCCCAUACACGAAAAACAGAAGAAAUCGUCCCCGACAAAAGAUACAGAAGCACCGAACCAUUCAGGAAGACAGUAACCACACUCCGUCCAAUUACCACUGGAUAACUCGUUGGUAGCCCCAUCCUGAUUUAUCACCGACAUGGUUAAUCGCAUCUCGCCGUGGAGGCCCAAUUAAAACGACCAAACAAACCGAUUAAAAAAAGAAAGAAAGAAAAAAAAGGGACGAAAAAGAAGGCAGCAACCGAAGAAACAAACAUCCACACGCGAUACAGGGUGUUGAUAUAUUCGUGGAACAUCUUUGGGGAAUUGAUUAUUAAGAUAAAAGUUUGUGGUUAAUUUAUAAGCAAUUGAAAUUUGUGUAAGAUAAAAUAAAUAAAAAAAUAAUUUACCAAUAUAUUAAUUUUAAUCUCAAUUAUUUAUAGACAAAAUAAUCAACCUCCAUCUUCAAGUUUUAAAGUAUUCAAAGUUUACCGAAGUCCCAUUGAUUCACAUCAAACAAAGACAUCAAAACAAAAAAAAAGGGAAAUAAAUCUCUUUCGUCAAUAUUAUCCAAACACUUUCGAACCAAUCGAACAUUAAACGUAUUCCGUUUAAAUUAUCGCUCAAUUGUUCCCUCUCCCAUCCCAAACGCCCUUCCCGUGUAAUCCACCCGUAAAAGCUCCACCAAGCAUUACUUUCGACAAAGAAAGUGGGCAGCAUCAUCAACUUUCUCGUGAAAUUCACGAUUACCCUUUUCGCGCUUAGUAGGACAAAAUAUAUCAACGGGAGGCUAAGAACGGCACGAAUCGUCGGUGUACGCCCCUGGUCAUCUGGACACCUCCUCCCUCUGCCAGGGCCUCGUUUCGCCGUCGAGAGAUAGAUGGAGAGAGGGAAGCAUCUCUCUCGAUCCUUGGUUAAGUAGGUCUUGGGAGCGAAGGAAGCGACGAAGGAUGAAGGAGGAUGGUCGGUGAGAGGGAAGAGAGAGAGAGACCGGGCAAAAAGGACAAGAACCGGGCCGAGUAAAAAUCUUGGAAACGUAUGUGAGCCGUUUGCCAGAGAGAGAGAGAGAGAGAGAGAGGGAAAGAGAGGGGAAAUGUGCCCUCUCCUGCGGGCGCUUCUUCUUCGUCGAACCGUGACCAAUAACUAUCGCAAUCGUCCUGAGAUUAACAAGCUCUCCGUGGAUGCUUGUCGAGAUUAUUGGUGCUCUCCAACUGUCAAGGAAUCGAUUUAAGGACGAAAGGAGAAAAGGAAGUGUGGAUAUGCGUGCUUUCGAUUGGGUUUCUUCAUUUGAACGAGAAGAGUUUGAGUAUCUGAGAAUUGAGUAACCGAUUCCCUUGGAAGUAUACAUCAAAGAAGUUAUUAUUCAAUUAUAGAAGGGAAGAGAAUUAUAGACGAAGAGAAUCUGUAAUGACGACCAAUAACGUGAUCAUCUACAAUCAUUAUACAAUUGGUACAUCGAUAAAACCAUCCAUUAUCAAUAACAUAAUAUUCACAAAUGAAUUUAU